CCCCAUAGUGCCUCUAAACAGGGUCUUUCAACCUCCGAGCCCUUUGGUAGAACUCGGGGAAAAGAAGGGAAAGCGGUGCGGAGAAAACCGAGAUCCGAGGAUUCUGUCCAGGGAGCAGUUUCCUCUCCGCGCUGGGGUUUCCUCCCGGGCGUCCCCGGGUGCGGAAGGCGAGGCAGCCCCCUGCCGGGCACGACACUCGGCCUCGGGUUUCCUUCCGAGGGCUCCUUUCCUGGCGAUUUCGCGCCCGGCCCUGGGGAGGGCGCGCAGUCCUGCCUCGGCCACCGCGCCCCAGCCCCCGAGUGCGCGCGCCGCUUCGGACUUCGCGGACCGCUUGGUCCCCGGGCCAAGGACCACACAGGAGUUCUCACCUGUCCAAUACAGACUGACGGUGGACCCGGAAGCAGUUCAGCAAUGUGGAUGGGACCUGCUGUCAUAUUUGCGAUAAACAGAAAAACAGACAUCAAGUAUUGCAGGAGCGUGGAGUGUGUAAGGCAAGAUGUUUUUCCUGGCUGGUAUUUGAUUUUUGCACCUUUCUUCUUGGUUUGAUUUUUUUCCCAGAUAACUUGUUUAUUUUCUAUGUUGCAAAGGACUUCCUUGAACUUUGC
rnacentral:lncRNA from 1 species